UACUGGGCGUAAAGCGCACGCAGGCGGUUUGUUAAGUCAGAUGUGAAAUCCCCGGGCUCAACCUGGGAACUGCAUCUGAUACUGGCAAGCUUGAGUCUCGUAGAGGGGGGUAGAAUUCCAGGUGUAGCGGUGAAAUGCGUAGAGAUCUGGAGGAAUACCGGUGGCGAAGGCGGCCCCCUGGACGAAGACUGACGCUCAGGUGCGAAAGCGUGGGGAGCAAACAGGAUUAGAUACCCUGGUAGUCCACGCCGUAAACGAUGUCGACUUGGAGGUUGUGCCCUUGAGGCGUGGCUUCCGGAGCUAACGCGUUAAGUCGACCGCCUGGGGAGUACGGCCGCAAGGUUAAAACUCAAAUGAAUUGACGGGGGCCCGCACAAGCGGUGGAGCAUGUGGUUUAAUUCGAUGCAACGCGAAGAACC
rnacentral:rRNA from 1 species